rnacentral:rRNA from 1 species
AGUGAACGCUGGCGGUAGGCCUAACACAUGCAAGUCGAACGGCAGCACAGUAAGAGCUUGCUCUUACGGGUGGCGAGUGGCGGACGGGUGAGGAAUACAUCGGAAUCUACUUUUUCGUGGGGGAUAACGUAGGGAAACUUACGCUAAUACCGCAUGCGACCUACGGGUGAAAGCAGGGGAUCUUCGGACCUUGCGCGAUUGAAUGAGCCGAUGUCGGAUUAGCUAGUUGGCGGGGUAAAGGCCCACCAAGGCGACGAUCCGUAGCUGGUCUGAGAGGAUGAUCAGCCACACUGGAACUGAGACACGGUCCAGACUCCUACGGGAGGCAGCAGUGGGGAAUAUUGGACAAUGGGCGCAAGCCUGAUCCAGCCAUAUCGCGUGGGUGAAGAAGGCCUUCGGGUUGUAAAGCCCUUUUGUUGGGAAAGAAAAGCAGCAGGUUAAUACCCCGCUGUUCUGACGGUACCCAAAGAAUAAGCACCGGCUAACUUCGUG